rnacentral:rRNA from 1 species
UACGAAGGGGACUAGCGUUGUUCGGAAUCACUGGGCGUAAAGCGCACGUAGGCGGAUUUGUAAGUCAGGGGUGAAAUCCUGGAGCUCAACUCCAGAACUGCCUUCGAUACUGGAAGACUUGAGUCCGGGAGAGGUGAGUGGAACUGCGAGUGUAGAGGUGAAAUUCGUAGAUAUUCGCAAGAACACCAGUGGCGAAGGCGGCUCACUGGCCCGGUACUGACGCUGAGGUGCGAAAGCGUGGGGAGCAAACAGG